rnacentral:rRNA from 1 species
GUGUCAGCAGCCGCGGUAAUACGAGGGGUGCAAGCGUUAUCCGGAAUUAUUGGGCGUACAGGGCGCGUAGGCGGCAUGUUAAGUCUGUUGUUAAAUAUCCCGGCCUAACUGGGAAAAGGCAAUUGAUACUGAUGUGCUUGAGGGUGGAAGAGAGAAGCGGAAUUCUCGGAGUAGCGGUAAAAUGCGUAGAUCUCGAGAGGAACACCGAUGGCGAAGGCAGCUUCUUGGUCCAUACCUGACGCUGAGGCGCGAAAGCGUGGGGAGCAAACAGGAUUAGAUACCCUGGUAGUCCACGCUGUAAACGAUGAUCACUGGAUGUUGGAAUUGUUUUACAAUUCCAGUAUCGAAGCUAACGCGUUAAGUGAUCCGCCUGGGAACUACGGUCGCAAGACUAAA